rnacentral:rRNA from 1 species
GAUGAACGCUGGCAGCGUGCCUAAUACAUGCAAGUCGAGCGAACAGAUGAGGAGCUUGCUCCUCUGACGUUAGCGGCGGACGGGUGAGUAACACGUGGAUAACCUACCUAUAAGACUGGGAUAACUUCGGGAAACCGGAGCUAAUACCGGAUAAUAUAUUGAACCGCAUGGUUCAAUAGUGAAAGACGGUUUUGCUGUCACUUAUAGAUGGAUCCGCGCCGCAUUAGCUAGUUGGUAAGGUAACGGCUUACCAAGGCAACGAUGCGUAGCCGACCUGAGAGGGUGAUCGGCCACACUGGAACUGAGACACGGUCCAGACUCCUACGGGAGGCAGCAGUAGGGAAUCUUCCGCAAUGGGCGAAAGCCUGACGCAGCAACGCCGCGUGAGUGAUGAAGGUCUUCGGAUCGUAAAACUCUGUUAUUAGGGAAGAACAAAUGUGUAAGUAACUAUGCACGUCUUGACGGUACCUAAUCAGAAAGCCACGGCUAACUACGUG